rnacentral:rRNA from 1 species
GCUGAACGCUAGCUACAGGCUUAACACAUGCAAGUCGAGGGACCGGCGCACGGGUGAGUAACACGUAUCCACCCUGCCCUUUACUCGGGGAUAGCCUUUCGAAAGAAAGAUUAAUACCCGAUGUAACGGAUUGGGAUGCGUUCCAUUAGGUUGUUGGUGAGGUAACGGCUCAACAAGCCUUCGAUGGAUAGGGGUUCUGAGAGGAAGGUCCCCCACGUUGGAACUGAGACACGGUCCAAACUCCUACGGGAGGCAGGAGUGAGGAAGAUUGGUCAAUGGGCGUUAGCCUGAACCAGCCAAGUAGCGUGAAGGAUGAAGGCUUAUGGGUCGUAAACUUCUUUUAUAUAAGAAUAUGUAUUAUAUGAAUAAGGAUCGGCUAACUGCGUGCCAGCAGCCGCGGUAAUAC